UUCCCACUGGGUUAUCCAUCGCUAGGGCAUCAGCUCAUUUAACUUGGUUGUAUUUUAUUUCUAAAAUUUUUUCUAAAUUUUUCUUAUUAUUAUUUGAGUUAUUUAUGACUCCUCACUCUAGUCUAAAUAUUUUUUCAGACGUUCUAGCUAUCCGGACCGAUACUGAUCACCGAAACAGUAGAAUGUACAAAAUUACUACAAUGACGGUGUUACAGAUCCAAAUGGAAUACUAAUUGAAAUUGAUAAUGAUGAAUUUGAGGAUGAAGAAGACCUUGAACUAAACUCAGAAAGUGAUGAGGAAGAUGAUGAUGAAUAUGAUACUCAUAGUGAUUAAAUUAAGGAUGCAAGGCAACGGAUGCAGAGGUGUUCCAUCUAGACAGUCUCAGUCAGAUCAGUUACGUCAACAAGUUGAUCCUGAUGAGCAGGUAGACCAUUUAGCACAAGAUCAGCUUGAUGUUCCUUCACCUUUCACUGCUCAGUCUGUGCCAUGACCUGUUAUGUCUACAUCAUUAGCUCAGCCUCAUGAUGGACUUCCACUUACACCACCUUCAGCUGCUUAAGUUGCUAACCCUUCUUCUCAGCCAGCAGUUGGCUCGAGCUCUAGACAUGGAGGUUAGUUAGGUGGGGCAGCACCAACUGCAUCUAUGGAUGCCCUCUCACUUACCGUGGAUCGAGGAGACAAAUCAAGAAUGUCAAUAAUUCAUAAGUACUACAAAUUAAUAUUAAUUUUAUUUAUGAUUGCAUAUAUAUUUAUAAAUUGUUUUUGUAACCCAUAUUCAUGUGGUAUAAAUUAAUAUAGUUUAUAACCAAUCAUAAUGACUUUGUUACCUUUCAUGUGUACAAGUUAUUUCCAUCUGAGAUAUGUGCGCAAAAAAUCACAAGAAUAUUCAAGGAAAGGCUGGAUGAAGAGGGUUACUAUUGGAAGACUGUCUCACAGGAGACAAAAGACUUUUAUUGGGAAGAAUUUAAAAAAUACUAUAUAUAGCAAUAACAUUCCUUAUAAAGGAGGCUUGGAAGUGCAAGGCUGCAAAGCGCUAUAGGGCACUCAUGUGUACUGUGAGGAAAGGAAAAGAAAAGGUUGUGCACGCGCCUAAUAGUACAAUGUGCAAAUGGAAAGAGGCAUAAACUAGGCCAGAUUUCAAAGCUAGGGGUGAACAGUUCACUGCUAACCGCUGUAGUGAGACAGGAGGAGUCGGUGUAGGCAUUUCUCGUCAUACAAGGGGCUUACUAUCACACACUUCGCAUUCAGA